UACGUAGGGUGCAAGCGUUGUCCGGAAUUAUUGGGCGUAAAGAGCUCGUAGGCGGUUCGUCGCGUCGGCUGUGAAAUCCCGAGGCUCAACCUCGGGUCUGCAGUCGAUACGGGCGGACUGGAGUUCGGCAGGGGAGACUGGAAUUCCUGGUGUAGCGGUGAAAUGCGCAGAUAUCAGGAGGAACACCGGUGGCGAAGGCGGGUCUCUGGGCAUUAACUGACGCUGAGGAGCGAAAGCAUGGGGAGCGAACAGG
rnacentral:rRNA from 1 species